UACGGAGGGUGCGAGCGUUAAUCGGAAUUACUGGGCGUAAAGCGCGCGUAGGCGGGUGGGUCAGUCGGAUGUGAAAGCCCUUGGCUCAACCUGGGAAUUGCAUUCGAAACUGCGUGGCUAGAGUUUGGUAGAGGUAAGUGGAAUUCCGGGUGUAGCGGUGAAAUGCGUAGAUAUCCGGAGGAACAUCAGUGGCGAAGGCGGCUCUCUGGACCAAAACUGACGCUGAGGUGCGAAAGCGUGGGUAGCAAACAGGAUUAGAAACCCCAGUAGUCC
rnacentral:rRNA from 1 species